AUAGGCUUUUUUUUUUUUUGAAGAAAAAGAAGAAAGAGAAAGAGACAAAGGAAAAGGAGAAAGACAAGAGAGGAAGAAGCAAAAAGAGAAAAAAUAAAUUACAGCUAUCUGGGCUUCCAUGGGAGUGCCAGCUCUGACAGCUGAGACAUCUCUGACUUGGCUCUUUCACCUCUUGUGCAAGGGAGGAACAGCACUAUUUUUAAAGGGGUCAUUAGUUUUGGAAAUCACUAGUGGGUAAAAAAGACCAAUUUGCAACUAGGCUGUCAUGCUCUGUUGAAAACUAUGUCACAAUAUCACAAUACUAGAUGUUGGGCUCAAGACAGCAAACAGAAAGCAGCAAGGGCAGUGACUGGAAGCUGGGAGAGAGGGUCAACAGCUGAAUCUCAGCCUGAUAGAGGCCACCAUUUAAUAAGUAAAUACAUGCACAGCUAUUUAGAUCCUGCAUCAGACAGCUUCCUCAGCUUCCUCAGAAAGGUCAUCAGAAAACAUGAAGCUAAAUGCAGUAAAGAAUUACUCUCUUGAACUCUUGAAAAUAUCAUUUUCUUAGAGAAAUGGUUUAAAAAUUUCUUUUUUAUUAUUUCAAAUUUUCCUUCAGAAAAUUGUGAGUUUUAACCUACAACACAUACACUCCAAGGUAAUGCCACUCUAAUGCUGUCUAGUUGAUCUGAAUAACUGGUAAAUUAUCAGAUCCACCAAACUCUCUGGAGAUUAACUUCUGCCAGCAUAUUG
rnacentral:antisense_RNA from 1 species